CAACCCUCAGGUCCUCGCGUCCUGGUGUUGGGGCCCUGCGCGGCAGGCCCCGAAAGACAGCGGCGGGUGCGUCCCGGAACCGAACGCAGUAGUUACUUCUCGUUCUGGCCCAGGGCGCGCUCCAGCCGUAAAAAACCACUUAUCUUCAUAAG
rnacentral:misc_RNA from 1 species